rnacentral:rRNA from 1 species
CCUACGGGAGGCAGCAGUGGGGAAUAUUGGGCAAUGGGCGCAAGCCUGACCCAGCAACGCCGCGUGAAGGAAGAAGGCUUUCGGGUUGUAAACUUCUUUUGCACGGGGAUAACACCCUCCACUUGUGGAGGUCUGCAGGUACCGUGCGAAUAAGGGCCGGCUAAUUCCGUGCCAGCAGCCGCGGUAAUACGGAAGGCCCGAGCGUUAUCCGGAUUCAUUGGGCUUAAAGGGAGCGUAGGCGGGCGUUCAAGUCAGCUGUAAAAUCGCGCGGCUCAACCGCGCCCCGCAGUUGAAACUGGACGCCUUGAGUUCACAACAGGCAGGCGGAAUUCGUGGUGUAGCGGUGAAAUGCAUAGAUAUCACGAGGAACCCCGAUUGCGAAGGCAGCCUGCCGGGGUGCGACUGACGCUGAGGCUCGAAGGUGCGGGUAUCAAACAGGAUUAGAUACCCUGGUAGUC